rnacentral:lncRNA from 1 species
AGUCUCUAAGGCCAUGAUCGCCUACUGGACCAACUUUGCCAAAACAGGGACCCCAACAUGGGCGACUCGGCUGUGCCCACACACUGGGAACCCUACACUACGGAAAACAGCGGCUACCUGGAGAUCACCAAGAAGAUGGGCAGCAGCUCCAUGAAGCGGAGCCUGAGAACCAACUUCCUGCGCUACUGGACCCUCACCUAUCU